GCAGUUGUUAAUUUAAAAAAAUCAUUAUUAACUGUAGCUAACGCUACAAUCAAUGUAAAUAAAUUUGACAUUUGUAUCAAAAACUUUGACAAGACACUUCCAAACAUGUUCCUGAAGAAAUUUCUUGUAGGUCUUGCUAUUGCAAUCACCUUCUUGGCAAUAUACUAUCAAUACAACAAGCCAAAGAAACAAGAGGUUCACAUUAUGUGGUACGUUUACAUAUCCGCAACAAUUUCUUUGAUCCUUUUGAGCACGAUUUUAAUUUGGCGUAAGCUGUUCAAGCGAAGGAUAGUAUAUAACGUUGCAAAUCCUACAAUUCGUAAUGCAGCCAGAUAAACAAAAUUGAAUAUAUUGAUUUUUUAUUUGUACCAUUAUAUUGUACCAUGUAUUCAUUUACUCAUUUAAAUAAAUAUCACUUUUGAUCAUAA